rnacentral:rRNA from 1 species
CCUACGGGUGGCAGCAGUGAGGAAUAUUGGUCAAUGGACGAGACUCUGAUCCAGCGAAGUAGCGUGAAGGAUGACUGCCCUCUGGGUUGUAAACUUCUUUUGUAUGGGAAUAAAUUAUUCCACGUGUGGGCUUUUGUCUGUACCAUUUGAAUCCGGAUCGGCUAACUCCGUGCCAGCAGCCGCGGUAAUACGGAGGAUCCGAGGGUUAUCCGGUGUUAUUGGGUUUAAAGGGAGCGUAGGGGGAUGGUUAGGUCAGUUGUGAAGGUUGGCGGCUCAACCGUAAAAUGGCAGUUGAAACUGGCAGUCGUGGUGACAGUAGAGGUGGGCGGAAUGCGAGG